rnacentral:rRNA from 1 species
CCCUUAGAUGUUCUGGGCCGCACGCGCGCUACAAUGAUGAAUUCAACGAGUUUAUAACCUUGGUUGAAAAGCCUGGGUAACCUUUUGAACUUUCGUCGUGAUGGGGCUAGACCCUUGCAAUUAUUGGUCUCCAACGAGGAAUUCCUAGUAAACGCAAGUCAUCAGCUUGCAUUGAUUACGUCCCUGCCCUUUGUACACACCGCCCGUCGCACCUACCGAUUGAAUGGUCCGGUGAAAUCUUCGGAUUGAGACUUUGAUUUCUUCACGGAAAACGCUGUUUUAAGAAGUUGAUUAAACCUUACCAUUUAGAGGAAGGUGAAGUCGUAACA